CGAAGCAGAGAGGUUAUCGUGCGGCCGUGAAUGCGGUAGUUCCCCUGCAGCUGGAAGCGAGCCAUGAGGUCAGCUGUGUGCCUAUAAGAAGUCGGCAGGUUCCUCCGAAACGGAGACUGGAACUAGCGCAGCUGCUCACAUCUCUGCCUGACGGACAUUUACUGCGCAUCAUGGCAGUCCUUAUGAAAAUUUUCUUCAUUUCUCUGGUGCUAUCAAUUGUUGCUACAGCUGAACUAAAAAAGUGUGGGGACCCGUGCAUCAGCCACCAGUGCGGGCCUGGACAGCGCUGCGUGCCGCGGCAGGUGCAGUGCGUGAGGGCGCCCUGCUGCAGCCUGCCGCAUUGCACCGACGCCGACAGCAGUGAAGGCUGACGCUGGCCGCGUAUCGCCUACGCAGGCCUGCACGCAAUAAACAAUCAAACUGCAAAGUGUGAAGACAUUUACUUUUCUCUACAACCCUCUGUCUGGCAACACCUACACCUACAUACAUACUCUGCAGGAUAGUCAUUCCCAUUUCCUACUCCACUCGCAGAUGGAGCAUCCCUGUGAACCAUAAUUCCUCCUGCCUUGCCCUGGAGUCCCUACGUGAUAUAUAUGGUCAGCAUAGUAGCAUCGUUCCAUCCCUCUGCAACGUGUAGCAAAUGCUGGUUUUCUAAAUGUUUUAGCUCAGUUUCGAGUAUUAUAUCAUAGUGCCAUACAAUUUUUUGAAAGUAAUAACGAGAUCAAUGUGUGUCAACUGUUCACAACAGUAAAGGAUUAUGCCGUUUAUUUGGUGAAUAAUUUUAAGAGAUUUAACUAUGUUAAUCUGGAGUUUCAAGGAGUCAAUAAAGCACUUACACGUUGCCCAA